rnacentral:lncRNA from 1 species
AGGCGAUCUUCAUUGUGAGGAGGUUGCAGAUUUUGAGUACGGCAACUCGGAGUUCGUAAUAGGCUCCAGAAGAGAUGACGGAAAGGUUUAUGCAGGCAGCGGCUUCUGGUUGGACCAGAAAGCCUGGGACUGCUUGUUUAGUGCCUCGACGGAUUCUAUGUUCUGCAGAAGCGCUGCUACCGUCUUGUGGACGGCAGAGCAAUUAAAGACGAGGAGUGUCAUGGGGACACAUUCGAACAAAGCCCGUUCGCUUGGCUACACCGAGGCAAAGCCACCGCUCACGCCAGAAAAAAUCUCGUCUCUAAAGGCGAUGCUUGCCAUCUACAUGGGUGAUGUUACAAAGGAGGUGGCGGACAAGCGAAUGAAGAUGGUCCGUAAACACCUGUCGCAGAAGCUUGGCGAUGUGCAGCGGCGUUGAAUUGUGUGUCACAAGCAUCUUGAAUAAAUGUAUUAGUCAGAG